GCUGGGUUAGCACAGUUGGUAGAGAAUGAGACUCUUAUUCUCAGGGUUGUGGGUUUGAACCCCACGUUUGGCA